rnacentral:rRNA from 1 species
UACGAAGGGUGCAAGCGUUACUCGGAAUUACUGGGCGUAAAGCGUGCGUAGGUGGUUGUUUAAGUCUGUUGUGAAAGCCCUGGGCUCAACCUGGGAACUGCAGUGGAAACUGGACAACUAGAGUGUGGUAGAGGGUAGCGGAAUUCCCGGUGUAGCAGUGAAAUGCGUAGAGAUCGGGAGGAACAUCCAUGGCGAAGGCAGCUACCUGGACCAACACUGACACUGAGGCACGAAAGCGUGGGGAGCAAACAGGAUUAGAUACCCUGGUAGUCCACGCCCUAAACGAUGCGAACUGGAUGUUGGGUGCAAUUUGGCACGCAGUAUCGAAGCUAACGCGUUAAGUUCGCCGCCUGGGGAGUACGGUCGCAAGACUGAA